rnacentral:rRNA from 1 species
CACGUGGGAACCUGCCCAAUGGUCUGGAAUAACCGCGGGAAACUGCGGCUAAUACCGGAUAAGCCCGAGAGGGGAAAGAUUUAUCGCCGAUGGAGGGGCCCGCGUCCGAUUAGGUAGUUGGUGAGGUAAUGGCCCACCAAGCCGACGAUCGGUAGCUGGUCUGAGAGGAUGAUCAGCCACACUGGGACUGAGAUACGGCCCAGACUCCUACGGGAGGCAGCAGUGGGGAAUAUUGGACAAUGGGGGCAACCCUGAUCCAGCAAUGCCGCGUGAGUGAUGAAGGCCUUAGGGUUGUAAAGC